UACAGAGGGGGGCCAGCGUUAUUCGGAAUUAUUGGGCGUAAAGGGCGCGUAGGCGGCUUUGCGUGUCUUUCGUGAAAUCCCUCGGCUCAACUGAGGACGUGCGGAAGAAACUGCAGGGCUGGAGUCCGGGAGAGGAGGGUGGAAUUCCCAGUGUAGCGGUGAAAUGCGUAGAUAUUGGGAGGAACACCGGUGGCGAAGGCGGCCCUCUGGACCGGUACUGACGCUGAUGCGCGAAAGCGUGGGGAGCAAACGGG
rnacentral:rRNA from 1 species